rnacentral:lncRNA from 1 species
UUUUUCUCCAAACCCUAUAUGAGAGCGUGCAUCCUGUUCUUCUGUCGGCGAUUAAGAUCUCCUCUCUUCGCUGUGACCUAAAUUCAUCUUCUUGAUUAUAUCAACAACAUCUACUAUCUCGAAUGUUAUUUACAUCAUUGUUCGAUUCUUUUUUUCUUAUUCUUCUUUCACACGCUUAUUCUCCACAAACCCUAGAAACCAAAACCUAUGAACAAUCGAAGCUUUCUGAAUCAUUGUAUUUCUUAGAGAUUGAGGAGUAUUUCAACAAUUAAGUUUCCAUUCUCUCUUAAAACUCUAAUUUCUUCCGUUGUUUUUCUCUCUGCAGGAAGAGAGAUGUGAUCUUCAUCAUUCUCAUGGCUGGAGGACGGCUGCGACCACCGAUGGGAUCACCAUCAAUGAUGUUACAGAUUCGGCGAUCUAAAAUCGUUGUUUCCAUGAUUGCGAUACGUAAUUGAAGAACAGAUCAAUCUUUAUUUCUAAUUGAAACCCUAACUUUCAAAAAACGAUUCUGAUUCCAUCGAUCUUGCCUAAAUCCCAUUCACGAUUUCUGAUUCAAGCUAUCUUUUCUAAACAAUUUUGAAAAUCGAAGGCUACAACAGGUGGUGGAGGUCAUGGAAUGCGUCUUGCCAAAGAACGUGAUGAGUUUGUGAAGUUGUUGCAGCAAGCUCAGAGUGAGGCUGCAGCUGCAUUUGGAAACGAUGGUGUAUAUUUAGAGAAGUGUAUUCAAAAUCCUAGACACAAUGAGAUCCGGGUUCUGCUUUUCAGAAUGACCAGGUGAUGCUUUAUUAGUCAAGCAAAUUUAAUGAUUCUUUUUAUUGUUUAGUAAUCAACAUCCAUUCAUGUUCCGCUGGAAUACUGAAGGAUCACUUGAAGAUAAGAUCGGUUGGAACGUUCUGGUGCAGAGAAUGUGGAGGUCGAAUUUGGAGUUUUGCUUAACGAGCAUGGAACUAUUGAAAUAGGUUAUGCAAGAGUAAGUAUCACAUAUCACGUGGCUUCUGAUUAUGCAUUGUGUAUCUCAAAGGGCUAUGCAGAAGCUGAGGAAGUCGUUGCUUCUUCGUUGGCGUCUUUAACAACAUUAAAAUCAGUUGGCACGUUUUAGCAGUGUCCUCUCCUUAACAUAAUUUAUUGUCCUCCAUCAGAAGCUGUUCUUGGUGAUGGAAAGAGUUUGGUGGUGGUUGUCUACAACCCUAUAGGAUGGAAGAAAGACGAAGUUGUCCAAUUUCCAGUUAUUUCGCGUGAAAUAAUGGUCCGAGAUUCAGACGGAAAAGAAAUUAAAUCACAGCUUACUCCCAUAGUAUACACAACACCCAAUUAGACAAUAGGUAUUACCAUGUUCAAGCAUAUACCGGUAAAACUCCAAGUACUACACUGCAUUAUUGGCUUGCGUUUACGGCAUAUGUACCACCUCUCGGUUUCAGCACCUACAUUGUCUCAACUGCCAAAGACACAGAUACAAGUGCAACAAUGGCAAUAGUGUGGAAUUUUGUUUCUGAUACUGGUGAUAGAAUUGCAGUUAUUGUUGGAUAUUCUAAGAGGUUUAAAUAUGUGAAAUUUAAUUGAAUUGAUGGAAUGAGCGACCUGAGAUGUCUGUUGUUGUUUCACGACUCCAGAAGGUACUUGCAUUGCAAGAGAGAUCACCAGAACGAGAACCCAAAUUUAUUCACAAAUUCGUGUCAUGUUUUCGGCCCAAUGCUGAGUCGAAAGGCAUCAAUUUGAUAUUAGUUGGAGGCAGUGAAUACAAACCAGGUGACCAACUAAACAAUCCAAUCAUUGCCACAGGAAAGGGUAAACCUGUUUUGUGCGAUGAAAAUGAUGACUUGAGUCGUUAUCGUUAUCAAUCUGGCAGUGAAGGUGAUGCAAUGAUUAUGACAAGAAAUAAUAAAUUUCUACCAAGCCAUACAAGUACAACCAAAGGAAAUCUGAUGGUGUUUAGUUCUUAAGCUCUUCAAACAGCUACCAAUUAUUUUCAUAACGAAAAAUUUAUUGGAAAAGGUAGUUUCGGUUCUGUUUACAAUGGGAUGAUCCAUGAGCGAUCACUUGCAGCUGCCAAGACUCACAUAACUAUCGCUGUGGUUAACCAACAUCUUCAAAGUCAUCCGCAAGAGUGGUUGGCUACAGUUAACUGUCUAGGGCUGAUUGAUCACCCAAAACUUAUAAAGCUUAUUGGUUACUGCACAGACGAUGACCACAAAAUUUUUGUAUAUGAGUACAUGGAACGAGGCAGCCUAGAAAACAAUCUUUUCAGAAGGCGUUUUUACACUGGACCUCUCGCAUGGAACCUACGAAUUAAAAUCGCCCUUGGUGCUGCAAAGGGACUUGCUUACCUUCAUAAACCAGAAUCAACAGUUAUGUGUCAGGAUUUCAAUUCCACCAACAUCUUGAUUGAUUCGAUAUGAAUUUAAUUCGAAAACAUAUUACGAUACAUUUAUUGUUGGGUUUCUAUAUAAUUAUUGAGUUCGAUGGAAUGGUUUUGCUGUAACGAAUUGUAUUUAGCCUCAGAUUAAUGUUUUUUUUUCUUCUUACUCAUCUUAUUUUGAUUUUAUUGGUGUCUUUUGGUUAUAUUAGGAUUCCGGCGAACUGAUUCGAGGUAAAACUGGCCAAACAUCAGGACGAAAAUGACAUUUUACUCUAAUUUUCAUAGAUAAACGUUAUUUAUAUGUACCUUCCAGGUUGCUGGAUUGUUGAACAAAAUGCAGUUGCAUGCGGAACAAUCUGUCUCUGAAGAUAACGAAUGCACUUUUAUUGUGUCGGUUCCCCCUACCAGAAGUGACGUUCUUCAUGCAUGUGAUGUAGCAGAGGACGUGGCGAUUGCUUAUGGUUUCAAUAAAAUUCCAAAGCGGAUGCCUGCAUCUUUGAAGCCCUUGCCGCUGAAUCAGUUCAGUGAUCUUAUUAGAACAGAGGGCUAAAGAAAGGAUCUAUAGUUGGUUACACAAUGCAUGUGGAAGGGAAGUAUUGCAAGGAGAGACCUAAGAAAACUUAAAAUGGCCACAAGAAACAGGUGCACUUAAAGAGCAAGUGAAGAUUGCAUUUUUUAAACUCUGU